AUUAGAUACCCGGGUAGUCCACGCCGUAAACGAUGGAUACUAGCUGUUUGGGGUAUNGACCCCCUGAGUAGCGAAGCUAACGCGUUAAGUAUCCCGCCUGUGGAGUACGAUCGCAAGAUUAAAACAUAAAGGAAUUGACGGGGACCCGCACAAGCGGUGGAUCAUGUUCUUUAAUUCGAUGAUAACCGAUAAACCUUACCAGGUCUUGACAUCCUUGGAAUCUUUCAGAAAUGAUAGAGUGCUUUUUAAGAGCCAAGUGACAGGUGAUGCAUGGCCGUCGUCAGCUCGUGUCGUGAGAUGUUUGGUUAAGUCCAUCAACGAGCGCAACCCUUGUCAGUAGUUGUAUUUUUCUACUGAGACUGCCCCGGUAACGGGGAGGAAGGAGGGGAUGACGUCAGGUCAGUAUUUCCCUUACGUCCUGGGCUAGAAACGUGAUACAAUGGCUAGUACAAUGCGCAGCGAAGCCGCGAGGUGAAGCAAAUCGCAUCAAGGCUAGUCCCAGUUCGGAUUGUAGGCUGAAACUCGCCUGCAUGAAGUCGGAAUCGCUAGUAAUCGCAGAUAACAGCGUA
rnacentral:rRNA from 1 species